AAAACACUUGUAUGGAAGCAGGUAGUAGGCUGGAUAAGAGUCAUGCUCAUAGUUUGUCAGCUUCUGGUUUAAAUCGACAGGACCUACAAGUGUGAAUUAAUAGAACUGUGGAUGAAGGCAUUCCUUGAAAGUGGUGGCCUCUGGAAAACUGUAAAGGUUUCCUUUCUGGCCACAGGCCUUUCUUUAUGUUCUCCAUAGUUAGGAAGACUAUUUCUCAGCUUAAAAAGCAAGACAACGUAUGUAACAGUGAAGCAUGAAAAAUGAAGCCUAUUCUGAAAACCCACAGUGCAUGAUUGUUA
rnacentral:lncRNA from 1 species